CUUCUCCAGUGCAUGAAAGUGAAAAGUGAGAGCGAAGUCGCUCACUCCUGUCCGACUCUUAGCGACCCCAUAUAUAGUAUAUUAAAAAUAAAGAUGAAAGAAAAUCCCAUUCCUUAUUAGGCUCUAGAUAGAAGCUUGUUAAAUAUCUUUCUAAAUGUUAGAUUUUGAUAAUAUAUUAGAAAAUACACACUGAUUUUUUUCUUCCUUUUCACUAUUCAAUCUGUGGUCAAAUGGGCCACAGGCUUCUUGUUGCACUGCCAUGUAUGGAAGGGUCUAGGGAGCUCUAUGGCUUCUUUUAUAAAAACACUAAACCUGUUCAUUAGGAUUCCACCUAAUGACCUAACCCAUUUCCAAAAACCUCACCCCCUAAUACCAUCAUACUGGGUAUUAGAACAUCACCAUAGGAAUUGAAGGGAAAUAACAUUCAUUUAGACCAUGGAGAAGGCAAUGGCACCCCACUCCAGUACUCUUGCCUGGAAAAUCCCAUGGACAGAGGAGUCUGGUAGGCUGCAGUCCAUGGGGUCGCUAAGAGUCAGACAUGACUGAGCGACUUCACUUUCACUUUUCACUUUUAUGCAUUAGAGAAGGAAAUGGCAACCCACUCCAGUGUUCUUGCCUGGAGAAUCUCAGGGGCGGGGAAGCCUGGUGGGCUGCCUUCUCUGGGGUCGCACAGAGUCGGACACGACUGAAGCGACUUAGCAGCAGCAGCAGCAGCAGCAUGGCAUAAGAGUAAAAGAACACGUAAAAGAUGUAUUAAUCAGGAAGGAUCUAAUAAACUCAGGGAACAGAGAGAAUAGUAGAGAAGAAGCGUAUGAAGAGAAAAUAUUUGAUGUUUCCAGAAUUCAUUAGGUUUAAAAUUUAUUCCAAGUAUCAAAAUGAAUUAAUAAAAAUAAUUUGCUUGACUCAAUCUUCCUAACACAAAGGAUUGUAUAUUAAUGGUUACCAGAGGGGUCACUAAGUUACUAAGUCCUGUCCCACUCUCUUGGAACCCCAUGGACUAUACCCCUCCAGGCUCCUCUGUCCAGGGGAUUUGCCAGGCUAAAAUACUGGAGUGGCUUGCCAUUUUCUUCUCUAGGGGAUUUUUCUGACCCAGGGAUUGAACCCUCAUCUCUGGCAUUGGCAGGCAGAGUCUUUACCACUGAGCCACAAAAGAAGCCCUAAAGUGAAGGGAAACUUAAAUAAAUAUUUACCAAACUUUUGGUCAGCAAAAAAUAGGUAACAGAAAACAGUGGAUUAAGAUCUCAAAGAGUCAGACAUGACUGAAGUGACUUAGCAUGCACGGAUUAAUAUAUUGAAUUUUGACAUAAAUGCAAAAAUAAUACAUUUUGUACAUUUUUCAUAAAUAAUAAAAAUAAAAAAUAAUAAAAUGGGGAAAUAUUUAACUAAUAAAAAUGGGGAAAUUACUAUGAGCUUUAAUACAGGAGCUAAGCUGAAAGUGCUCUCAGCGGCAGAACACAGGGCAAUUUCAGCAAAAAAAUAAAGUAUUAUUGGAUUAUAGCCCAAAGUGUAUAAUUAAUAUACAUGAGUUCAUAUUGAUACAAAUGUGGUGGUGGAAUUUUAUUUGCUGUUAUUUCCAACUCUUGCGACCCAAUGGACUGUAGCCCAUCAGCCCAACUUAAGUUUCCUGCAUGGGCAGGUGAUUCUUUACUGCUGAUCCACCAGAGAUUCCUGAUACAAAUAUGCUAUUGAAUAAAUGAAAAGAGACAAAGUUCCCACACAAUACACCAAUACAGUGCCCCUUAAGUUGAUAGAACUUAAUUUUCCAUCCCUUGAGUAUGCGUUACAACUUAGUUGACCAGCAUCCGAUGAAUGGAAUAUGGAUAUGGGAAAAUAUAUCUUUACAGUGGAGAAAUUCUGCAAACUCUGCCAUACCAAGUGAUCUGGGUCAACAAUGCCAGUGAUAAGCAACAUUGAUAGUAAGUAUCCUUGGUGGGAUGUGAUGUGAAAAUAACAUUUCAUCUUUUAUCUCUGUAAUCUUUCUUCCAAAAAUCUAUAACCUCAGUGUGGCCAUGAGGAAAAUGUACUGAGAAAAGGGGAGGGAGUGAUAUUACUAAGAGCAUAGAAAGGAGAAGAAAGGAAGGCGUGUUAUCAAAAGCACAGAAGAGCUUUUCAGUGAAACAUAAAUACAACUAUAGAAUAAAAAAUAGAGAGGGAAGGUGAAAGCGAUCCAGGUCCAGCUGGAGGGACAGGUUGGAACUAGUGAGCUUGUAAAGCUUUAACAGUGAAGAGGGAAGAGUCAGAAAAUGGCCAAGCAAUGAGUGACAAUAUCCAAAUGGGAUUUAACUUUAAUGUUAAAAAGAGAAAAUUAUCUUGGCCAACCUGAAGGGAAAGUGAAAAUAAACAGAUUUUGUGAAUGGUGAUAGUGUUUUGGUUGAGGAAAUUGAAUUAGAGUUCCUGUCCAUGGGACAAAGCUCAGACUAAAUAAGUAAGACAGGACUUUUUAGUAUGGUUUAUACAUGAAACUAAAGGGAAAUAACUCCCUUUUUGAUUUUUUAGAGUAACACACAAUGUUGUGAAGAAGGAAGUGACUGGUUAUAGAGUCACCAUAGACAGCCCCAGGUCCAGAGUCCAGUUUCUUUCAAAGAGGAAAUUUAGAAGAGAAACUUUGACUGCAGAGGUGUAGCAAGAGAGAAUUCCUAGAAAGAACUGCAGGUCAGAGCUGAGGGCUCUUUUGCAUCAAAGAGAUCACUCUUUCCUCAAGUUUUCUCUUGCUCUGAUACAUUCAGUGAGGCACUUGUUUUAACUACAGGUGGUUUCGCACUUAGAGCAAUUUGACUUAUAAUGAAUCACAUCUCAGCACUCAGAGCCCUGGCAGAAGGCUACACACAGCUACAUCGUUGGCAGUGUCUGCUUUCUGACCUGCAUCAAUACGUAAGACCCUGUGGUCUGGGUCAUCGACCUCAGAUGACUUUUUGGGAGCCUCAAGCAGCACCCUCUGCCUGGGUUCAUUUUGGCUCUUGGUCUCAAAAACUUUCUGUCAAUAAUUAAUAACAAUAAUGUAGGAUCCAGUGUAUAAUACUUUGUUCUCUACCUUUGUGAACACAUUCUUUCAUUUGUUAACUUAGUUGUUGCUGUUCAGUCUCCAAGUCGUGUCUGACUCUUUGCGACUCCAUGGACUGCACAUGCCAGGCCUCCCAAACUCCCGGAGAUGGCAAAUCAUCUCCCGGAGUUUGCCCAAGUUCAUGUCCAUUGAAUUGGUGAUACCAUCCAACCAUCUCGUCUUCGGCCACCUUCUUCUCCUUUUGCCUUCAAUCUUUCCCAGGAUCAGGGUCUUUUCCAGUAAGCUGAGUCUCCUUAUCAGGUGGCCAAAGUAUUGUAGCUUCAGUUUCAGCAUCAGUUCUUCCAAUGAGUAUGCAGAGUUGAUUUCCUUUAGGAUUGACUGGUUUGAUCUUGCUGUCCAAGAGACUCUCACGAGUCUUCUCCAGCACCACAAUUUGAAAGUAUCAGUUCUUCAGUGUUCAGCCUUCUUUACAGUCUAAUACUCACAUCCCUACAUGACUACUGGAAAAAACCAUAGCUUUGACUAUAUGGACUUUAUCGGCAAAGUGAUGUCUUUGCUUUUUAAUACGCUGUCUAGGUUUGUCAUAGCCUUCUUUCCAAGAAGUAAAUGUAUUCCAAUUUCAUGGCUGCAGUCACCAUCUGUAGUGAUUUUGAAGAUCAGGAAGAGAAAUCUGUCACUGCUUCCACUACCCAAUUCCUUCCCUUCCCUUUCUCCUUCCCCCAAUUAGUACCAAUAAUCAAAUAUUUACUGAGCACUUACGAAGUGGCAGUCACUGUAGUAGUCACUUGGAUGGAUGAGUGUAUUAACCUUUUAAGAAAUCUAUGACAAAGAAGCUACAAAUUGUAUUUUGCUUAGAUAUAUAUUAAGAUUUUAAAACAAUGUAUAACUUGGACAAAGCCAGAGCUGGUCCAUGGCAGAGCCAGAACUAAUCCAAGUUUCCGGACUCUAAGCCUUAUUUCCUUAUUUCUUAUUAUACAUAUACUUUGGGCUUCCCUGAUGGCUCAGAUGGUAAAGAAUCCACCUGCAAUGAGGGAGACCUGAGUUCAAUCCCAGGGUUCGGACGAUCCCCUGGAGGAUAGCAUAACAACCCACUCCAGUAUUCUUGCUUGGAAAAUCCCCACGGAAAGAAGAGCCUGGCGGGCUAUAUCAGUGGGGUCACAAGAGUUGGACACAACUCAGUGACUAAAUAACGACAACUACUAUCUGGCUCUACAGAUCAUUUGUAAAGGACAGACUGUUUAACACAUGGUGUAGAGAAUAUUACAUCCCCCAUGGAAGAAAAUCAAAUGUUUGACUAAUAAAGAACUAAAUAUGAGAAGAAAAAACUAUAAUGUUAUUAGAAGCCUACAAAUCGGAAAGGAUGAAAGAUCAUUUGAUAAAGAAUCUGCCCUCAAUGUAGGAGACCCCAGUUCAAUUCCUGGGUCAGGAAGAUCCACUGGAGAAGUGAUAGGCUACCCACUCCAAUAUUCUUGGGCUUCCCUUGUGGCUCAGCUGGUAAAGAAUCUGCCUGCAAUAUGGGAGACCUGGGUUUGAUCCCUGGGUUGGGAAGAUCCCCUGGAGAAGGGAAAGGCUACCCAACUCCAGUAUUCGGGCCUGGAUAAUUCCAUGGACUCUAUAGUCCAUGGGGUUGCAAAGAGUUGGACAGGACUGAGUGACUUUCAGUUCACUUUCUUUCUUAAGUAAAACAUUAAUGGCAAAAUCACAGAUGAAGCUGAGGAAAAAUUGCCAGAGUGGAAGAAAAUAUUUGAAAUGUCUGAAACUGAAAAGGGGUUAACAAAAAACUUGAAUAACUCAUGAAAUAUAAAAUGGCAUUAUCCAUGAAUAAGAAAGUUGUAGAGGAAACACAAAAUCUUACAAUUGUAUGAGAGACACAAAGUAUUAGAAUAUUUGGUAUCAGAGAAAAGAACAUUAGGAUAAUAUUGGAAUAUACAUUUAUAUAUCUAAAACUGGGAAACUUUACAGAUCCAGGUAAUGUCAAAUAUUGGGAUGGUUUUGGAAUCUGUCUGGGUAAACUAAUGAAAGCUAUGAAGAUGAAUCACACCAAAGUCAUGCUGACUAAAAACACAAAAGUUUAUUUAUUGCUCAGGAUGCACAAGUGUCUACAGUGUUGAAGGUAACCCUUGGUCCACUGGACUCAGAAACCCAGGCUGUUAGAGCACAACCCAUUAACCACUGCUGAUCACCAGGCACGUAGGAAAAGAAGAGCUCUCUGGAUAGAGAUUGGGGAUGAGAUGGAGUUGAGAUGAAGGAAUGGGCUUUGCAAAGGCAAGUAAAUGGUACAGCACUUCUAUUCAUGUUUAAUGGGUCAGAAGUAUCCAUCUGUCCUCACCCACAUGGAAUUAAGGGAACUUUCACAUAUUUCCAGUGGAAGUGAAGACUGCUGUACCCAUUCUACAAAGCAACAUGACAAUACCUAGUCAAGUUAAGCUAUGGUUAUAUUAUCUUCCCAAUGUUAGCCACUUUCUCUCCUUUUCAGACUGAUGAUUAAUGUAUUUUAAUUGCUCUCAGCCUCAGUUGCUGUAGACUCUCAGCUUUGUGUCUUGGACUACCAUUCAUUGCCUCAGUUCAGUUCAGUCACUCAGUAGUGUCCGACUCUUUGUGACCCCAUGAAUUGCAGCACGCCAGGCCUCCCU
ensembl:lncRNA